rnacentral:rRNA from 1 species
GAUGAACGCUGGCGGCGUGCCUAAUACAUGCAAGUCGAGCGGCAGCACGGUCUUCGGACUGGUGGCGAGCGGCGGACGGCUGAGUAACGCGUAGGAACAUGCCCCAAAGUGAGGAAUAACUGCCCGAAAGGGUGGCUAAUGUCGCAUGUGGUCUUCGGACUAAAGCUUUAUGCGCUUUGGGAGUGGCCUGCGUCCGAUUAGCUUGUUGGUGAGGUAAUGGCUCACCAAGGCGACGAUCGGUAGCUGGUCUGAGAGGAUGAUCAGCCAGACUGGAACUGAGACACGGUCCAGACUCCUACGGGAGGCAGCAGUGGGGAAUAUUGGACAAUGGGCGAAAGCCUGAUCCAGCCAUGCCGCGUGUGUGAAGAAGGUCUUCGGAUUGUAAAGCACUUUAAGUUGGGAGGAAGGGCAGUAAGUUAAUACCUUGCUGUUUUGACGUUACCAACAGAAUAAGCACCGGCUAACUUCGUGCCAGCCGCCGCCGUAA